rnacentral:rRNA from 1 species
UGAGGAAUAUUGCGCAAUGGAGGAAACUCUGACGCAGCGACGCCGCGUGAAGGAUGAAUGCCCUCUGGGUUGUAAACUUCUGUAGAGAGGGAAGAAUGUCCGCCUUCGGCGGAUUGACGGUACCUCUAAAGUAAGCAUCGGCUAACUACGUGCCAGCAGCCGCGGUAAUACGUAGGAUGCGAGCGUUGUCCGGAUUCACUGGGUGUAAAGGGAGCGCAGGCGGGCUUUCAAGUCAGUGGUGAAAUCUCCGAGCUUAACUUGGAAACUGCCGUGGAUACUAUAGGUCGUGAAUUAUCUGGAGGUAAGCGGAAUAUGUCAUGGAGCGGUUAAAUGCUUAGAUAUGACAUAGAACACCAAUUGCGAAGGCAGCUUACUACAUAUAAAUUGACGCUGAGGCACGAAAGCGUGGGGAUCAAACA